ensembl:sense_intronic Gm19938 predicted gene, 19938
AGUUGGUUCUGUCCUUCUAACUUUAUAUGGCUUUCAGGGAUUGAACUCAGGUCAACAGGAAGUAUGGUCACUGCUAACAUGAUGCCUGUCCAGUAUUACAGUAGGUGUUAUGCAGAAGUUUUCUGCAGCAUCAGACAGACUAUGAGCUCAAAACGUGAGUUUGGAGAAAGAACCACAUGGCAUCACAGUCCCAGUAGCCCUUCACUGUCUAACGUUGCAUGCUAAUUUCUUUUGAGACCAUCUCAGGAGCAGCAACCAUUGAAAAUAUUGAGGACCUUCCAUCACAAACCAAGCCAAACAGCCCUUAAGGGCUGUUAACAGAGCAUUGGCCCUGCCAUUUCCUCUAUUCACUUCCAGAAGCCUCAGAAUACAGUGUGUAGGACAUGCCCCUGCCUAUGUGUUUGCAAGGAGUGACACCACUCCUCUGUGUGACAGCCAUGAUUAAUUACAACAGGUGAGGAAAUGUGUGCCUUUAUUCCAUAUUCUAAAACUACAUCUCUCAUUUAACAGCUUGUUUAAAGGAUAAAAGUGCCAAACCACCCUCUUUUCAAGUAUUCCCUUGUCACCUGAACAGUAGUUUAUAGUGAUUCCUCGCCCUUUGCCACUAUAGGUAAAAGAAGCUGAAAUCUCUUGCAGUUGUGUGUUUUUGUCCUGUUUUUAAAAUUUAUCUUUAUUUUAUGUAUGAUUGUUUGCCUAUAUAUAUGUAUAGACACCAUAGAUGUGCAGGUGCCUUUGGAGACUUUGAAGGAAGCUAAAGUCAGAUCCCUGGUGACUAGCCAUUAUGUGAAUGUUGAAAACUGAACCCAGGUAUUUUGAAAGAGCAGCAAAUGCUCAUAACCACUGUUACAUGAAGUCUCUUAAAUGUGGUCUGUUCCUUUGUAGACUUUACUACUCAAAAAUUUUAAACAAAGAAGAUUUAAAUUAAAUUACAUUAUAAUUUAAUGUGGUGUGUGUGUGUGUGUGUGUGUGUGUGUGUGUGUGUGUGUGUUUGUAGGGGUCUUGGAGAGGUGCACGUGCCUUGUGAGGCUUGUGCAGGUCAGAAGGCAACAUAGAGGAGUCUGACUGCUCCUUCUACCACAUGUUUCCUAGAGAACUAACAAUUUAGGUCUUCAGGCAUGGUAGUGAGUGUAUUUAUUCAGAGACAUCUUGCUAGUCCUAGUACUGCAAUCUGAAGACUGUGCUUCUCAGCUUCCAAACACAUGCUCCAACGUGGAUCUGCCUAUUUGCAGUGCCAACUGUUUUCAAAUAGCAGGAAUGCUGUCUGUUCCUGUGGUCCUUGGCCAUUCACUUGCACUUGCUGUUUCUGUUCCUCCUUGGAGGGUCUGCUCUUGAGACCUAUAAAUGGCCCUUUUUUCCCUUUGUCCUCAGCUGUUGGAACCCCUAGAGGGAACAGAAUACUCUCACACCCAUGCAAGUGUCAAAGAGGCUGGCUCUCUUAAUUAGUUUCACCUGACUGCCACUGGAUUUAAAGCCAAUUGUUGUUAACUUGUUUCUACUGGUAUAAUAGUCAUUUUACUAGUUCAGUUAAAUUUUUUAUCUCUUUUAAGAACAUAUUCACAAGAACAUUCAAAGCUACAUGUCUUUUUAUUACAAUUGCACUUAUUUCUGUAACUUGGAAAUAGUUCUCAGUUUCAGAUGCCAUAUAGGCUUCCAGUGGCAUAAAAGUCCAGUUGUGCUUUGCCUCUUUUCUGAGACACAUAUGCCAUCCUAGCCUUUCUCAGCAUCCUUGUUUGUAAGUGGAAAGCCUAUACGAGGUUUCCAAGUGUGACACAGGAUCACUGUCAUUUUCUACAGGAAUAGUUUGCCUGGGGUGGAAAUAUCACCCUUCCUCAUUCAUCAGAGUGUUAGGCAGGCACCUAGGCUCUGCUGAUCUUAUAAAGAUCUUUUAAACUCAAAUAAGGUUUAUUAUGAGGUUAAUUUUCAAGAAAUUCUGUGGAUGGGAAAAAUAAAUAUACCAAAAAAAAUAGCAAUUUUCAAAAAACCUGAUUUAUCAAGCUUCUUGUUUUGUUUUGUUUUGCUAUGCUUUGUUUUAUAGUGACACAGUCAUUAAAUUCUAUUGGUUUGCAAAUUGUAAUUAUGUUGGCAUUUUUCUUUCCUUACAAUAGGUUGAGUUGAUUUGUCUAUGAAGACUGUAAAAUUCUUUUACAAAGUAGAAAGAAAAUCAGCAGCAGCUGAAAGUAAAUGGAAAAGGAAAGAAACAACUCCCAAUAUACAUUUCAAAGAGCUACAUUGUCUCAAGAAAUUUCUUGCUAACUAAUCAGAAAAACUGACAAGUAAUCAUCUAUGAAAAAUGAGCCAAGAACAUGCAUAGAUAGUUCAUAAAGAUAAUAAAGACAAGUGAAUCAAUUGUUUUGUCUGAAGUCCUGUGUGUUUUCACACUAUCUAAAAUCUGUGUUUGGGGAUGUGUGAAGCCAGGGUGAACCCUUUUGUUUAAUCACAGAUCUGUGUCACUCACUUGCUUGAGCCUCUUAAAGUGGUCCCGAAGUGCUGGAGGUUUUUUGAGGUUUUGGUUUUGUGUCUUGAACUCCUUAGUUUAUAUAGAAGAUAAUAGAGUUGGCUCCCCAAACAGCCAUGUCAGUUCUCAUCUUCACAUUUUAGGUGACAGACACUGGAAAGCUAUGAAAAAAAAUGAGAGAGUGUAAAGAUUUCAGUCAUUUAAUGCAGCUCAAAGGGCAGUGCUGCCAGAGGAAGCCCAUGAUGCAGUGUGGACUUUGGGUUCCAGCUUGUGCUUUGCUCUUCCUGGGAUGCUGACGGGGACUGCAGUAUCCUGUCCAUCUCUGCUGUACUCCUGUAGCUCAACAGGUAGUAAUGAGGCCUCUGGGUCCAGCUGCAUUGCUUCAGGCCUUGGAAUAUCUGUGCUUGAUUCCUUGAUCACUCCCUAAAUAUCUUGCACUAAAUCAUUCUCCACUUAGGCCAGUUAGAGUGUACUUGAAAAGGAGAAGUAUAUUUUGGCACAGGGUUAACACAAGGGUUGGUAGGGAGAACAGAGUCCCAUUAUCAAUCAAGCCAAGUCAAUCUCAGAGAAGUUCAUUAAUUUUCUGUUCUACUCUCUUCACUACUAAAGAAGAACAUGUUUCUCAAUUAAAUCUAAAUUUGCUUUUAGGUCUCCCCAUCCCCAAACUCAUAUAAUGCUGUUUUCUAAGUAGUCAUUUCUUCAGCAAAAACAAAAAAAC